GAUCGAUCGAGGAAGCAAGCAGCUGCACCCAAACCCUAGCCGACGCCCCCUCCUCCUCCUCCGGAUUCUUGCGGCGUGCGAUGUGCCGGUGCCAUGGCGCUGCGCUCUCCCUCCAGCACUUCGAGGCGGACUCUGGGACCCCGUUAUUCGCCGCCGGCGGACUCUCUGCCUCCCACCUCUCAGUGGUUUUUGCUACCGAGUUCUUUGCUGGAUCAUGGCAGUGCUAGUCGAUGGUGGUGGUGAGCCGAAGCCGCCGACACGAGAAUUUUUUCUACAACCAUGACGACUGUGGGAUGGAACCGGUCAACAGUAGAAGCUGACACACAAUCUGCGGCGGUGCUGCAAUCCCGGUGGCCGUGAGACGAGGGACGGCAAGCUGACAACAGCAUCAGUCCCGCCGGGGCUGCCGACGCCGACGAAUGCGUUUACCGCAUCUAGCGAAGGAGCAACACGACAGAGGAGGCGUGGUCUGGUGGCGACUACGCACUUUCCAGGGAUGGGACCCAAUAGAGGAGGCGUGGUCUGGUGAUGACUAUGCAUUUUCUAGUGGUGGGAGAUUAGAGGACCAGAUCUGACGGUUAGGGAGAAAAGAAUCGAAUGGACAGGGUAUGACCGGCCGAACUACUGGGCCGGUGCGCCGGCGCAGAUCACUCGCCAAUAAUUUAUGUGCUAUACCGGGGAUUUUGGCAGCUUGAUGUAACUCUUACUGUUAACUCCAUGUGCUGUUCUAAGCUGCAUGGAGCAGGUGCUUUGUUAAGUACUGCAUGUUAAUUAGUGUUUGGUAAUUGAAUCUGGUCUGCGUGUUCAUUAUCUAUGGAUUGUCUGUGAUAAUUUAUAGAAUAAUUCAUGGUAUGACACUUAA